CGUCAAAUCAUCAUGCCCCUUAUGACCUGGGCUACACACGUGCUACAAUGGACGGUACAAACGGUUGCCAACCCGCGAGGGGGAGCUAAUCCGAUAAAACCGUUCUCAGUUCGGAUUGUAGGCUGCAACUCGCCUACAUGAAGCCGGAAUCGCUAGUAAUCGCGGAUCAGCAUGCCGCGGUGAAUACGUUCCCGGGCCUU
rnacentral:rRNA from 1 species